GGGUUUGGAGAGAUGGCUCAGAGAUUAAGAGCACUAACUGUUCUUCCAGAGGACCUGAGUUCAAUUCCCAGCAACCACAUGGUGGCUCACGACCACCUAUAGUGAAAUCUGAUUCAAUCUUCUGGCAUAAAGUCAUACAUGCAGAUAGAAUACUCAUGUACAUGAAAUAAAUAAAAUA